CCUGGCAUGGCCAGCUACAUGGUCGUCCACGUUGGCAUACCGUUAAGUUACACAUGGGUUAUAUUAUAGGUAACUAGACAUAUGAAUUAAUUUAUAUAUUUCCGUGUUAGUGAAUUGACGGAUGUGCAAAGCGCCGUGCUAUUUCUGCAAAGCCAAAUGGCGAGAGGACGAAAAUAACAAUGUCUCUUAGCCACUAGAUAAGCUUAUCGUAUGCCUUAUGUAAUGGUUAAAAACACGUGGUCUACUACCACAUAGGCUACAGAAAGUCCAUUGAACUGUUUAGUAUGAAAUUUACGUCGAGCGAAAUUAUACGGAGUGGCAACGCCGUAGAGACGAUCGUGUUGCGCGGCGCGACCGGCAGGCGGCGCGGCCGUCGGGGGGAGGGGCCGAGCGAGACGGAAGCGAGUGGGACAGAAGACACACAAGACGCCACGUCGUAAGAUUAUUUUUUUAGUUAUGGGAUAAAAUAAAAUUUUAUGAAAC